rnacentral:lncRNA from 1 species
GGCGCAGCCCCAGCUUACCUGCUCCCUGGGUAUGCAGGGCAGGGAGGUCCUCCGGUGAGACUUGCCACUGCAGCCGGACAUCUCGCCGGCCACCACCGAGCUGGACCGCCUCCUCCUCUUCCACCCCGGAAUCUCUUCCUUGGUCCUCGCGCUCAACUGGGACCCAAACCGCUCCCUGGGCGGAGCCGGCCCGGAGCACUGCGGCAGGAUCUGCUCGGCGUACCUGGCCAGCAGCAGCCCAAGCACGGCCGCCAAGUAUGCCAGGUAAGGUCUCCAGGCGACCUUGAACCUCUCCAGAGAAACCAGGGCCACCGUCCUAAGCACGCUAGUCCAGGCGACCAUGAGGACGCCCAGCCUCAGCCUCAGCACCAGCCAUGUCGCGCCACCUAGGCAGCUGAGCAGGACCCCCGCGGCGGGCAGCGACAGGCUCUUAACAUGAAGCUAAUAUUGCCACCCACCUAGAACCAGAUUGUAGAACACAAGGAUAUGCCCCUAACCUUAUAAAAAGUGCCCUGGAAUUUUUAAUGAAC